rnacentral:rRNA from 1 species
UACGAAGGUGGCAAGCGUUGUUCGGAUUUACUGGGCGUAAAGGGAGCGUAGGUGGUGGGGUAAGCCCCGCGGGAAAGCUCCAGGCUUAACCUGGAAAGGUCGCGGGGGACUGCUGCGCUAGAGGACGGGGAGAGGAGCGCGGAAUUCCCGGUGUAGCGGUGAAAUGCGUAGAGAUCGGGAGGAAGGCCGGUGGCGAAGGCGGCGCACUGGACCACAACUGACGCUGAGGCGCGAAAGCUAGGGGAGCAAACAGG